rnacentral:lncRNA from 1 species
UGUACAGUUUAAACAAGGAUGAUCUCCCUUGUGAUGGCGGAGACAAAAUGAGUGAGUUAGGUUCGCUUUAAGGCUCUACUUUGUACCUCUGUGGGGAAUCAAGCUCCUGACUUUCGCAAGACAGUGAAUUUACUCACUAUGCUACUUGACGACCACUACAUUUUGAGUGAGUGAGUGAGUGAUGAGUGAGUGAGUGAGUGAGUGGUGAG